UAAUUUUCAAAUUUUGUUUAUUUAAAACAUUAUUAAAUUUAUUAAAAGAAUAAAAGUAUAAUUUAGUUUAUUAUUUUUUAUAAAGGUAAUUUUAUUAAUUUACUGUAAAGGUUAAAAUGAAAUAGUUGAAAUUUUAUAAAUAAAAAGUAGAUAAACUAAUUGUACCUUUUGUAUCAGGGUUUAUUAAUUAUUAAUUUAAAUAAAAAAUUCUCGAAAUAAUAUGAAUUAAAUAAUUUUGAUUUUAUAGUAAUAAAUAUAUUAAAUAAAAGUAUUUAGUAAUGAAAAGUUAGUCGUAUAUUAUGAUAUCUAGUUUCUUUAGAAAUGAAUUAAAUUCUGGUUUAUUAAAAUUUAAUUAAUUAAAGAAUUAAAAAAUUAAAAUAAAUCUAAAAAUAUAAGGGAUAAGCUUUAUAUUUUAUUAAAUUUAUAAUAUUAUUUAUAAAAGUAGGCUUAUAAGUGGUUAUCAAAAAAGUGUUAUAACUUGUAAUUUUAUUAAAUAAUUUUCUAUAAUUUAAAUUAUUAUAAAGAAAUUUUAUAUAAUAAAAGAAUUAAAAAUAUAAUGAUAAAAUUAAUAUUAAAUAUUUAAAUAUAAAUUAAAUAAUUAAAUUUAUAAAAGGAAUUCGGCAAAUUUAAUUACUCACCUGUUUAUCAAAAACAUCGCCUUUUGAAUUAAAUAAAAGGUUUGACCUGCCCACUGUAAAUAAAGGGCCGCGGUAUAUUGACCGUGCAAAGGUAGCAUAAUCAUUAGUCUUUUGAUUGAGGGCUGGAAUGAAUGGUUGGAUGAAGUAAAAGCUGUCUCUUAUAAAUUAUUAAUAAUUUAACUUUUUAGUCAAAAGGCUAAAAUAAAUUUAGAGGACGAGAAGACCCUAUAGAUCUUAAUAAAUUUCAAAAAUUAUGAUAGCUGAAAUUAAUAAUUUAUUAUAAUUUAUUUUAUUGGGGCGAUAAGGAAAUAAAGAAACUUUCUUAAUUAAAACAUAUAUUAAUGAAUUUAAGAUCCAUUAUUAAUGAUAAUAAGAUUAAGUUACCUUAGGGAUAACAGCAUAAUCUUCUUUAAGAGUUCUAAUCAACGAGAAGGGUUGUGACCUCGAUGUUGGACUAAAGGUAAUUUUAGGUGUAGCUGCUUAAAAAUAAGGUCUGUUCGACCUAUUAAACUUUACAUGAUCUGAGUUCAAACCGGUGUGAGCCAGGUUGGUUUCUAUCCUUAAAAUUGAUAAUAAUUUAGUACGAAAGGACCAAUUAUUAAAUCUAAGAGAUUUAUAUUUUAUGGAUUACUAAU
rnacentral:rRNA from 1 species